AGAGUUUGAUCCUGGCUCAGGAUGAACGCUGGCGGCGUGCCUAACACAUGCAAGUUGAGCGAUUUACUUCGGUAAAGAGCGGCGGACGGGUGAGUAACGCGUGGGUAACCUACCCUGUACACACGGAUAACAUACCGAAAGGUAUGCUAAUACGGGAUAAUAUAUUUGAGAGGCAUCUCUUAAAUAUCAAAGGUGAGCCAGUACAGGAUGGACCCGCGUCUGAUUAGCUAGUUGGUAAGGUAACGGCUUACCAAGGCGACGAUCAGUAGCCGACCUGAGAGGGUGAUCGGCCACAUUGGAACUGAGACACGGUCCAAACUCCUACGGGAGGCAGCAGUGGGGAAUAUUGCACAAUGGGCGAAAGCCUGAUGCAGCAACGCCGCGUGAGUGAUGAAGGCCUUCGGGUCGUAAAACUCUGUCCUCAAGGAAGAUAAUGACGGUACUUGAGGAGGAAGCCCCGGCUAACUACGUGCCAGCAGCCGCGGUAAUACGUAGGGGGCUAGCGUUAUCCGGAUUUACUGGGCGUAAAGGGUGCGUAGGCGGUCUUUCAAGUCAGGAGUGAAAGGCUACGGCUCAACCGUAGUAAGCUCUUGAAACUGGGAGACUUGAGUGCAGGAGAGGAGAGUGGAAUUCCUAGUGUAGCGGUGAAAUGCGUAGAUAUUAGGAGGAACACCAGUUGCGAAGGCGGCUCUCUGGACUGUAACUGACGCUGAGGCACGAAAGCGUGGGGAGCAAACAGGAUUAGAUACCCUGGUAGUCCACGCUGUAAACGAUGAGUACUAGGU
rnacentral:rRNA from 1 species